CCCCGCGCCACUACUCCAUUACCGUCACGGCGAUACAAGGGGUGCCGUUUCGCAGCUCAGUCAUGCGUUAGUUUCAUUAUCAUAAGUGCUGUGAUCGUUAUUUACCCGACGCACUGGUUACAGACUACCAUGAAGAUUCAAGAUGGCUUUGGAAUUGCUUGGCAGUUCUCUGAAAGGGAAGGCGUACUAUCCCUGCCGGCUUCCUCCUGCUGGCUUCCUCCUCAGUUGGCGCCGGACAUCAGGUGCAAGCGGCCCCAUCACCUUGCAAUAUGCAGGCUUGGUAGACACCCGUUACUCGCUCGAGGCUACAGUUUCCUGGAGAUAAUUUCCCAAGUGGCAGCAAACAAGGGCGAUAGCUUUCUCCCGACGUGGAAUGAGCGAGCGAGACACUGGGAGGAGGGAUCUUGUACCUCUUAAGUUUCUAUCUCUCAGUAAAAGUCUUGGUACUGCAAA